rnacentral:rRNA from 1 species
CAGCCGCGGUAUUCCAGCUCCAAUAGCGUAUAUUAAAGUUGUUGCAGUUAAAAAGCUCGUAGUUGAAUUUCGGGAUCAAUUUGUCGGUCGUGCCUCGGUACGUACUGGUAUUAUUGGUUUCUACCUUCUGAAGAACCUUGAUGUCAUUAAUUUGGUGUCUUGGGGAAUCAGGACUGUUACUUUGAAAAAAUUAGAGUGUUUAAAGCAAGCAUACGCUUGAAUACAUUAGCAUGGAAUAAUGAAAUAGGACGUUUGAUUCUAUUUUGUUGGUUUCUAGGAUCGACGUAAUGAUUAAUAGGGAUAGUUGGGGGCAUUAGUAUUCAAUUGUCAGAGGUGAAAUUCUUGGAUUUAUUGAAGACUAACUACUGCGAAAGCAUUUGCCAAGGAUGUUUUCAUUAAUCAAGAACGAAAGUUAGGGGAUCGAAGACGAUCAGAUACCGUCGUAGUCUUAACCAUAAACUAUGCCGACUAGGGAUCGGAUGAUGUUAAUUUUUUAAUGACUCAUUCGGCGCCUUACG